GACAGAGGGUGCAAACGUUGUUCGGAAUUACUGGGCGUAAAGCGUGCGCAGGCGGCUUUGCAAGACAGAUGUGAAAUCCCCCGGGCUCAACCUGGGAACUGCAUUUGUGACUGGCAGGCUUUGAGUGUGGCAGAGGGAGGUAGAAUUCCACGUGUAGCAGUGAAAUGCGUAGAGAUGUGGAGGAAUACCGAUGGCGAAGGCAGCCUCCUGGGCCAACACUGACGCUCAUGCACGAAGCGUGGGGAGCAAACAGG
rnacentral:rRNA from 1 species